rnacentral:rRNA from 1 species
ACUCCUACGGGAGGCAGCAGUGGGGAAUUUUGCGCAAUGGGGGAAACCCUGACGCAGCAACGCCGCGUGAGUGAUGAAGGCCUUCGGGUCGUAAGGCUCUGUCAGAGGGGAAGAAAUGCAGGGUGCUAAUAUCGCUUCUGCUUGACGGUACCCUCAAAGGAAGCACCGGCUAACUCCGUGCCAGCAGCCGCGGUAAUACGGAGGGUGCGAGCGUUGUUCGGAAUUAUUGGGCGUAAAGCGCGUGUAGGCGGUUUGUUAAGUCUGAUGUGAAAGCCCCGGGCUCAACCUGGGAAGUGCAUUGGAAACUGGCAGACUUGAAUACGGGAGAGGGCAGUGGAAUUCCUAGUGUAGGAGUGAAAUCCGUAGAUAUUAGGAGGAACACCGGUGGCGAAGGCGGCUGCCUGGACCGAUAUUGACGCUGAGACGCGAAAGCGUGGGGAGCAAACAGGAUUAGAUACCCUGGUAGUCCACGCCGUAAACGAUGAGAACUAGGUGUUGCGGGUA